CGUGCACUGGUGGGGUCCCUCAGCCUGGUCUGUGCCCUCUCGCAAUCCACGAUCCCUCGGAGGAUGUUAGAGAGCUGGUUUCAGCCCAUCCCCACAGGCCAGGCUGAGGGACCCCACCGGUGCACA
rnacentral:pre_miRNA from 1 species